GUGGUUCUGCGGCGGCGACGGCGCCAUCACGGUGAUACUGCUCUGGUGUGUGUUUCAUCCACCGUCGGUAACCUGUAGACGGUGAACACGGUUGUUGUGAUGGUGGUUUAUGGUCUCUGGUCCUCGGUGUUAGCAACGACGGCUAGGGUUUUUAAGCGAGAUAUGAACGACGUUUGUUCCAGUUAGGGUUCCGAUGAUCGACAACUUGUGGGUUGCUGAGAUGACAGAGAUGGUGGUUGGAGCUAUAUCAGCUAGGGUUUCCGGCAAAGAAGGAAACGCAGCGGUUACUCAGCGAACCAGGUGAAGUUG
rnacentral:lncRNA from 1 species